rnacentral:tRNA from 1 species
GCGGGCGUAGCUUAGUGGUAAAGCACCAGGUUUCCACCCUGGGUACGCGGGUCCGAUUCCCGCCGCCCGCU